GUUCUGCCCACAGUAAAGGUUUUGGGCCAUUUCAUUAAUAGUAAUUCCGUUUAGAAUUUUCAUUUAGUUAUCGCGGUGCAUUGUGGGUAGCAGACGCCAUGUUUCAACAGAGGAGUCAUUACAGAAAGCCUGACAGUGGUCGUUGCAACUGGUCCUCCUGAGUUAUAUUCCUUUCGUUUCACCUUCGAAAGCAAUGGCUCUAAGUCUGCUCGUGUUUAUCAUUAUUUAGAAAUGUGUUUCGGAGAUUGUUUUCCCUCAAUUGUUGUUAUUGGAAAUUCGCUAGCUUAGAGUAUUGCUAACGAUGUAGCGACGAUGCUAAAUCGGUGCUAACAAGCUAAUUAGCAUGCAAAGGUGCUGCGAAAAUGCAUCGUUUAUCGUUGUUUGUCACAUUUUGAGCUGUGUUUAUGUCCUUUGUUAAACACCUGACGAUUUGUGUUGUAUUUGUGUACACAAUAUUAAUGCAUGUUUUAAAUCUGUUCAUUUCAGUUUCACUCUACAAUUCAUUGAGCUGAUGUCACAGUUGUUCACUGUACGCCGUCAAGAAGACCGUAAUAAAGGAGCAAGACGCUCAGUUUCCUGGCUCAUGAAUAAAUGAGUUUGGCUUGCUGUUGACCUGUGUUAACACACUCAUAGUAUUUAACACAUAGCGAUAACAGUACACUGGAUAUCAAUAUAAGAAGGGUGUCAAACUUUUAGUCACUGGCUGCAUCGUAGCGAUGGCUUCCUUUGGAGGGCUGUUAUGACCGGGAACCCAAAUAAAUGUACAAUCGCCUUAUAUAAGCUACACACCCAAAAAAAUGAUGAAUAACUGCAUCUGUAAUCAGAGGCUAGCACAAACUAUUCAAAUGUUUAUUUUAAAAGGGUGAUUGGAAACAAGAAUUGCUAACAAAAUCUCAAAGUUUAUAGAAGUGAAGACAAUUGCAAUUUUGGUAUUGGAGCAAAACAGAAUUUGCUUUCAUAGGCCACAUAAAAUGAUGCAGCGGGCUGGAUCUGGCCCCUGCGCCUCAAGUUUGACACCUGUGCAUUACACUGUUGGAGUAAACCCGCCUAUAGAAAACGAUCAUAAAGACUUCAGGAAAUGGCGGCGGAUAAACUUUGGUUUGUUAUAUUUAAUGUUACUUAUGAGUGUGCACAGACUAAUAACAGUGCAGUUAGUAUUUUGAGUUCCACAAUUUGUUUUAUUAUGUAGUGAAUAUGUAAGGCACAAAGUGUAAAUUUGUUGUAAACAAAACAACUGCUGGGGAAAAGCUCUUGAUAGGCUUCCACUGUCAUCCUUUUGUCUCCUGGGAGAAAGGGCUUGCCUGGCUGGUUGUGCCUUUAGAUGGCCGUGGCCAAACCUGGUCACCCCCCUGCUGGCGCAAGAUGCACUUAAUUUCCCAUAAUGGCUCAGAUUAUUUCUUCGGGGGCGCUUGGCAAUGAAAAUGUCCUUCCUACCCUGAGGGCCAUCUAAGGGACUCAUUUCACAACCUCAUGUCACAUGAUCCAGAUAGACACCAAGGGGCAGGGUGACGAUGGGGGAUUUGGGGAAAAUAUGUUAAUUUUCCGAACGGUCAGUGUAUUUCCAGGCUGGUCUUGGGCAUUACACACACACACACACACCUUGUCGACAACGAUUCUCGGGCCUAAUUUUGUUCCCAACACGUCCCUGAUAGACACACACGUGUGCAUGUGAGCCCCCCGCUCUUGAACACACUCACCAGGGAUGAAUAAGGACUGAUUGCUGGGGAGAGCUUUUAAUAUUCAACACGCAAGUUGCAAGUCAAUUAAUAGAAAGAAAAAUAUUCAAUGUUUGCAAUUCAUGUGAUCAGCAAAUGCUUUAAUGGCAGAUUGAAUUGCUUUGUUUGGAUUGACCUAGUUUUGCAGUUUAAGACUAUUUCAAGUUGGGGGGGGACAGCAAAAACAAUGCACAGAAUGAAGACAUCAAGUUGAGUAUUUAUUGUCUAUAGAUGCAUGCAUACUUGCUUACAGCAAAUUUCUCUGAAUGAUUAAGAAUAAUCUUACUGCAGCAUCUACCCAAUAGACGCGUACAGCGACAAGGCUGAAAACUUGACAAGCCCGUCAAACUUUUUCUCGGCAAUACAGCCAUCGAACUAUUUAGCUCAAAGAGUAUCACUCAACAGUCCAUUUAAUUCCACACAUCUUUAAGUUGAGUCCUUUUCAAGAACUGUGCGUCUUCUGUUUAUUUAACAGGAACCUAUUAUCACAUUUGCAGUUGAAAAGAAGCAAAUCCGUCAAUGAUUUCACCGUUUUACAAAGCACAAUGUUUUCAGUCUUGGCCUAAAAAGAAAGUAUGAAAUAAUACUACAGUCAAUCAAAGCAGAUGACUCACAGCAGCACAUUUCAACAAAGCAGUCAAGCGAGAGCUAAGUGAUGACGCCGUUUACUAAAAAAAAAAAUGCUGUACAUGUGGUGAGAGUGCAGACAACCAAACCUCCACAAUGCUCACAUUAGGUCGAGCGUUUCCGCAAACGUUCACAGCUUUGGAUUGAGUACGAGAGACCAAAAAGGCAAUUUGAAGUUCGGUCCGAACUCGCUCUCGCGGAGUCUAAAGGAUGGCUUCGUCGGUGACGUCAUCACUCGUUGCCACCCGAAGAGACUUUGGGAGCUUUUGUCACUUAGUUGAAAUCUUGGUCACUUUGCAUGAAAAACGCAAAUGUUUUCUUUCUUCUUUUUACCGCUUUCAAUUCACAAUAACACAACUGCUCACUUGAACUUUGUUCAACUUGUUAUUUCAUACAACAGAAAAGACAAAACAACUUACAACAAAGUCACUGUACAAAUGUUCACGUUGUUUUACUGUAAUACUUUCUCACCGCCAGGGGGCUCCCAAGUAAACGAGAAGUCAAAACGGAUGGCGGUGAGACAGCCAAUAGAAUUGGCCAAUUGCCGUCGGUAAAUCGCCGCUUUGCAACGUCAACAAACGUCUGAAUGCGUCGAUGCACGCGUGACUGGCUUCACGUGACAGGCGCUGUACACUUGGUGAAGAGUUUAGUUAAGUGUAAAUGGAAAAGUGCUCACAUGGGGUUACUGUUCCUUUUGCUGACGUGCAAACACCCGCAACCGUGCUGUCAAUUCCAAGCUGGAUGGACGGCAAAAUAUUUGUUUUGUUGGGAAGACGGGUGUUGUCAGGGCCAACCCGCGUUUCCCCUUUCCAUAAGGUGUGUUCAAUCAUAAUAA